rnacentral:rRNA from 1 species
UACGAAGGGUGCUAGCGUUGUUCGGAAUCACUGGGCGUAAAGCGCGCGUAGGCGGCUUUUCAAGUCAGAGGUGAAAUCCUGAGGCUCAACCUCAGAAUUGCCUUUGAAACUGUAAAGCUUGAGUGUCGGAGGGGAUAGCGGAAUUCCUAAUGUAGAGGUGAAAUUCGUAGAUAUUAGGAGGAACACCGGUGGCGAAGGCGGCUAUCUGGACGACAACUGACGCUGAGGCGCGAAAGCGUGGGGAUCAAACAGG